GUCAAUUGAAGUUUUUUUUUUUCUUUAUAUAUAUAUAUACAUAUAUAUGAAUUUACGAGCACAAUCAUCCUAUAAUGAAACAAACACGAAGGAGGUGGAUUCCGGUCCCGUUUUUAGUCCAUCGGAGAAGCCGAGAACAGGGAAUGAAAAAUGGACGGACUGUCAAAAGAAAAAAUGAAUCUCAGCCACAUCGUCGAAUGAAUAUAUCAUUUAAGUUAUUUUUUCUUAGGGGAGGGUGGAAACGAUAUGCUUGCUUUAACAUAAGACCAUCAACAAUUUAUUGAAGGAUUCAUUUAGCGAAACAAAUCGGUUUGGAGAAGUACAGAAGAGCAGUUAUCCUCCCAAAACAAUCCGGACUGUAAGAGUAAGUUUUUCUAUCUUUCGUUCGGUUGGAAAACAUUUUUCCACGUUUUCCAUCGAUACGUUUGACGGAUAUUUUUUUUUUAAUCAUCAGUUUUUUUGUAGGAUAAUUUUAAAAUAAGGAAAAAGACGUCGGGGAUGUUGUUAAUCAUUACUCUGAUCAAAGUUUUCGGUAUUAAUUUAUUAGGUUGGAUGGGAACAGUUUUAAGAUUUAUUAAGAGGAAAAAGUUGUAAAGGAUUGCAGGCCGGCAAACCAUUCGUUUCAAGUAAUAAACAGUAAUAGUUUGACAUUAGAGUACUUUUAAUCUCUCGGUAACUUUCUAAAGGCUCGUUCUUCGAAUCACCCAAGCAGAGUAUUCGGCUGUUACAUCCAAAACUUUAAAUAAUUUAAAGCAACAGAAGCGCAGUCAAUGAAGCGAAUCGAAAAACAAGCGGGGGUGGCAACACUUAGUGAGGGGUUUAGACUGAUAAUUAGCGGAUCUAAACCGGUGACGAAGAGUCAUUAGCGCGAGAUGACCCCGGCACAGGACAAAGAUGAUCGGGAGCGCGUUUCUGGGUGGCCGUUAUGUGCAAUGCCCGUACGACUAUUUCCACGUGUUUAUGUGACAGGUUAUAACACCCGCUCUACUCCAGUCAACAUGUUAAAUUCCCGAACUGUAAGGUGUCUGCUUUUCGUACAUCAAGCACUUCUCGUUCUCUCUCGUGCCGUCUGUAAUCUACUGCGCCGGCUGGCCAUCUGGCGAAUGAGAGGUUGGUAAUUACAGCGUGCCCGGUAUCAGAUCUGUGGCAGUUGUAACCCUUUAUUGCACAAAUUAAGGCAGAAUAGUCGUAGACAAAGCUUUCGUAAUUAACAGCGUUAUUUCUUGAUUAACUUUUCCCGCCAAACGCUGCUGUGGUUAAUGCAAUUAGUGAUCAUCACCACAUACGGAGGGGGCGCUUCCUCUGUCGCUAUCCCUUCGUGUCUUAAGGCGCACUUUUUACCCCGUUCUUGGCUCGGAUUUCUCUCUCUCUUUCUCUCUAUACUCGUGACUUUGAUCGAGGUUUCGUUCGUUUUUUUUUUCUUCUUUCCUUCUUUCCGGUUGCUUUCUUUUUCUUAAUCAUUUGAUCGAAGUCUUACGCCAGCUGGUAGAUUAUUGUUGCUGUUUUUCCCUUAAGAGCGUAGCAACACCAAAUAUACUUUAUUAAUUAUACCGAAGAUGUGUAAUUAAUUUUGCUUGGGCUUGUUUCGCUCGCAUCGAGGUAAAAUAUUUUUCUGCUGAUUAUCAGAUGUUUCUCUCUUAUUUGUCGUUCUGUUCCCUGUCUACUUUUCUUCUUCUUCUUCUUCUUCUUUUUCCUUCUUCUUGUUUCCUCUUAACUGGAUUUAUUACUGUUCUGUUAUUUAGAAAGUUUGAAAAUCCUGAUAACUAUAUCCUAAAAGUUAUUCGGCUCCAGAUCUCUCGCUUCUUCCGGUCCAGACUCCAUCUUCGCCAACUAACAAGAUGGUGAAAAAUUAACUAAAAUCUUACGAUAACAUCUCGACUCUGUGCACAAAAUAGGCGCUAUUUUAAAAAAAGAUAAAAAGGAGAAAAGUUCGUUACGCUAUUUUUAGCGUGAUAUUGUAUUUCUUUGACCAUUUACGCUACACUUUGCUGCAGAAAUUAAUCAAGCCAUUUUAAAAUUCCUAAAAGAAUAUAAUUAGUCUGUAUCAAAGGGUAAUUCAUAAGUCGGGUUGGACUAUGACAGUUUCUCACAAGAUGUUCCAAAGCACCGAAAUGGUUAAAAAGAAUUUUUAAAUGAAUAAUGAGACGUACGGCUCUUUUGGAUUACCUGUAACUUUCGACCCUCUAGAUCCAAGGUCGUAAGUACUUAAUGAGGCAGAGGUACGAUUGUUAAUAAGAGAUUUUCUUAUAACAUAUGGUUACUUCAUAAAGUGUUUUAUAGCGCAUGGGAGACUGAUAAUUUAAAACUGUAAUAGUGAAGACGAAAAAGAAGUGGCCAGGAAAAAAAAAAGUUCUCCAGGUUUUAAUUAAAUUCUUUUGUAUUUUUGAUCUGCAAUAUUAUUGUUUGUUUUUUUCUUUUCCUCUUUUUCUUCUUCUUCUUCUUCUUU
rnacentral:lncRNA from 1 species